rnacentral:rRNA from 1 species
AGUGAACGCUGGCGGUAGGCCUAACACAUGCAAGUCGAACGGCAGCACAGUAAGAGCUUGCUCUUACGGGUGGCGAGUGGCGGACGGGUGCUGAAUACAUCGGAGUCUACUUUUUCGUGGGUGAUAACGUAGGGAAACUUACGCUAAUACCGCAUACGACCUACGUGUGAAAGCAGGGGAUCUUCGGCCCUUGCGCGAUUGUAUGAGCCGAUGUCGGAUUAGCUAGUUGGCGGGGUAAAGGCCCACCAAGGCGACGAUCCGUAGCUGGUCUGAGAGGAUGAUCAGCCACACUGGAACUGAGACACGGUCCAGACUCCUACGGGAGGCAGCAGUGGGGAAUAUUGGACAAUGGGCGCAAGCCUGAUCCAGCCAUACCGCGUGGGUGAAGAAGGCCUUCGGGUUGUAAAGCACUUUUGUUGGGAAAGAAAAGCAGCAGGUUAAUACCCCGCUGUUCUGACGGUACCAAAAGAAUAAGCACCGGCUAACUUCGUG